CUUAAAAAAAAAAAAGUAAUAGCUCUCAACCUGAGAUCAAAAAAUGAGAGAGUCACUGUGGACUUUCCCCAAACCUAUUGAUAGGUCUAUUUCUUCCUACGCCCUCAUAAGGAGCUAUUGUUUCAGAAUUCUAAGAAUUUCAAAUAAGCACCUGGUUAGGACCCGUUUAUCAGUCCUUCUGGCUCAAUAAGCAGCUUUUCAGUGACCCCAGGGACUUUGACCAAAGUCAGCUUGUUUCCUCCUUAGCAUUUUGGUUUAUUUUGGUUUGGGGGUUUUAUUUUUUCCCCCUAUAUUAUUUUCUCACUUCUUUAGAUUCAAUUUUUACUUUUAUCGUUUUUUCCUUUCCCUCCGUUUUUCUUUUUAAAUCUAGUUUCUUGCUAUUUGCUUUUUGUUCCAUUUUAUCCUUCUCUGGCAUCGUGUUUUGA
rnacentral:lncRNA from 1 species